rnacentral:rRNA from 1 species
GGUUAAGCGACUAAGCGUACACGGUGGAUGCCCUGGCAGUCAGAGGCGAUGAAGGACGUGCUAAUCUGCGAAAAGCGUCGGUAAGGUGAUAUGAACCGUUACAGCCGGCGAUGUCCGAAUGGGGAAACCCAGUGCAAUUCGUUGCACUAUCGUUAACUGAAUACAUAGGUUAACGAGGCGAACCGGGGGAACUGAAACAUCUAAGUACCCCGAGGAAAAGAAAUCAACCGAGAUUCCCCCAGUAGCGGCGAGCGAACGGGGAGCAGCCCAGAGUCUGAAUCAGCUUGUGUGUUAGUGGAACGGUCUGGAAAGUCCGACGGUACAGGGUGAUAGUCCCGUACACCAAAAUGCACAGGUUGUGAACUCGAAGAGUAGGGCGGGACACGUGGUAUCCUGUCUGAAUAUGGGGGGACCAUCCUCCAAGGCUAAAUACUCCUGACUGACCGAUAGUGAACCAGUACCGUGAGGGAAAGGCGAAAAGAACCCCGGCGAGGGGAGUGAAAAAGAACCUGAAACCGUGUACGUACAAGCAGUGGGAGCACCUUCGGGUGUGACUGCGUACCUUUUGUAUAAUGGGUCAGCGACUUAUAUUCUGUAGCAAGGUUAACCGUAUAGGGGAGCCGCAGGGAAACCGAGUCUUAACUGGGCGUUAAGUUGCAGGGUAUAGACCCGAAACCCGGUGAUCUAGCCAUGGGCAGGUUGAAGGUUGGGUAACACUAACUGGAGGACCGAACCGACUAAUGUUGAAAAAUUAGCGGAUGACUUGUGGCUGGGGGUGAAAGGCCAAUCAAACCGGGAGAUAGCUGGUUCUCCCCGAAAGCUAUUUAGGUAGCGCCUCGUGAACUCAUCUUCGGGGUAGAGCACUGUUUCGGCUAGGGGGUCAUCCCGACUUACCAACCCGAUGCAAACUACGAAUACCGAAGAAUGUUAUCACGGGAGACACACGGCGGGUGCUAACGUCCGUCGUGAAGAGGGAAACAACCCAGACCGCCAGCUAAGGUCCCAAAGUCAUGGUUAAGUGGGAAACGAUGUGGGAAGGCACAGACAGCCAGGAUGUUGGCUUAGAAGCAGCCAUCAUUUAAAGAAAGCGUAAUAGCUCACUGGUCGAGUCGGCCUGCGCGGAAGAUGUAACGGGGCUAAACCAUGCACCGAAGCUGCGGCAGCGACACUAUGUGUUGUUGGGUAGGGGAGCGUUCUGUAAGCCUGCGAAGGUGACCUGUGAGGGUUGCUGGAGGUAUCAGAAGUGCGAAUGCUGACAUAAGUAACGAUAAAGCGGGUGAAAAGCCCGCUCGCCGGAAGACCAAGGGUUCCUGUCCAACGUUAAUCGGGGCAGGGUGAGUCGACCCCUAAGGCGAGGCCGAAAGGCGUAGUCGAUGGGAAACAGGUUAAUAUUCCUGUACUUGGUGUUACUGCGAAGGGGGACGGAGAAGGCUAUGUUAGCCGGGCGACGGUUGUCCCGGUUUAAGCAUGUAGGCUGGUUAUCCAGGCAAAUCCGGAUAAUCAAGGCUGAGGUGUGAUGACGAGGCACUACGGUGCUGAAGUAACAAAUGCCCUGCUUCCAGGAAAAGCCUCUAAGCAUCAGGUAACAUCAAAUCGUACCCCAAACCGACACAGGUGGUCAGGUAGAGAAUACCAAGGCGCUUGAGAGAACUCGGGUGAAGGAACUAGGCAAAAUGGUGCCGUAACUUCGGGAGAAGGCACGCUGGUGUGUAGGUGAAGUCCCUGCGGAUGGAGCUGAGACCAGUCGAAGAUACCAGCUGGCUGCAACUGUUUAUUAAAAACACAGCACUGUGCAAACACGAAAGUGGACGUAUACGGUGUGACGCCUGCCCGGUGCCGGAAGGUUAAUUGAUGGGGUUAUCCGUAAGGAGAAGCUCUUGAUCGAAGCCCCGGUAAACGGCGGCCGUAACUAUAACGGUCCUAAGGUAGCGAAAUUCCUUGUCGGGUAAGUUCCGACCUGCACGAAUGGCGUAAUGAUGGCCAGGCUGUCUCCACCCGAGACUCAGUGAAAUUGAACUCGCUGUGAAGAUGCAGUGUACCCGCGGCAAGACGGAAAGACCCCGUGAACCUUUACUAUAGCUUGACACUGAACAUUGAGCCUUGAUGUGUAGGAUAGGUGGGAGGCUUUGAAGCGUGGACGCCAGUCUGCGUGGAGCCAACCUUGAAAUACCACCCUUUAAUGUUUGAUGUUCUAACGUUGGCCCCUUACCGGGGUUGCGGACAGUGUCUGGUGGGUAGUUUGACUGGGGCGGUCUCCUCCCAAAGCGUAACGGAGGAGCACGAAGGUUAGCUAAUCCUGGUCGGACAUCAGGAGGUUAGUGCAAUGGCAUAAGCUAGCUUGACUGCGAGCGUGACGGCGCGAGCAGGUGCGAAAGCAGGUCAUAGUGAUCCGGUGGUUCUGAAUGGAAGGGCCAUCGCUCAACGGAUAAAAGGUACUCCGGGGAUAACAGGCUGAUACCGCCCAAGAGUUCAUAUCGACGGCGGUGUUUGGCACCUCGAUGUCGGCUCAUCACAUCCUGGGGCUGAAGUAGGUCCCAAGGGUAUGGCUGUUCGCCAUUUAAAGUGGUACGCGAGCUGGGUUUAGAACGUCGUGAGACAGUUCGGUCCCUAUCUGCCGUGGGCGCUGGAGAAUUGAGGGGGGCUGCUCCUAGUACGAGAGGACCGGAGUGGACGCAUCACUGGUGUUCGGGUUGUCAUGCCAAUGGCACUGCCCGGUAGCUAAAUGCGGAAGAGAUAAGUGCUGAAAGCAUCUAAGCACGAAACUUGCCCCGAGAUGAGUUCUCCCUGAGACUUUAAGUCUCCUGAAGGAACGUUAAAGACGAUGACGUUGAUAGGCCGGGUGUGUAAGCGCAGCGAUGCGUUGAGCUAACCGGUACUAAUGAACCGUGAGGCUUAACCUU